AAGGUAGCGAAAUUCCUUGUCGGGUAAGUUCCGACCUGCACGAAUGGCAUAAUGAUGGGGGCGCUGUCUCCAGCAGAGACUCAGUGAAAUCGAAUUCGCCGUGAAGAUGCGGUGUACCCGCGGCUAGACGGAAAGACCCCGUGAACCUUUACUGCAGCUUGACAUUGAACUUUGAUCUUACUUGUGUAGGAUAGGUGGGAGGCUUUGAAACCGAGACGCUAGUUUCGGUGGAGCCAAUCUUGAAAUACCACCCUGGUAAUAUU
rnacentral:rRNA from 1 species